rnacentral:lncRNA from 1 species
AAAAUCACGUCAAAUGCAAGUAUCUGCAAAGAGAUAAGAUCAACAGGUAAUAUGAUGGUGUCAACUUGGAUCAAACAAGAUUUAUAAACAGUGGAUGUGAUGAAAGUUUCUCCUAACGGAGUCUCCACAGAUAAGUCAAAGUCUAAUUUCUCCGGAGUCAAGUUUAAACAUUGAGCACAAGCAGGAGAGAUAAAUGAAUGGCUAUAAACUUCACAAGAAUUUAUUAUUAGCUUACCCGUGAUCACCUCGUUUGGGUUCCUUGCAUUUUGAC